rnacentral:sRNA from 1 species
CACACGUGUAUUCCUUUUUCUAAAUUCUUUAGGCAUAUUACUACUCCACAGCUUAUUUUCUUUUUUUCUAUUUUCAGUUUAAACCAAUUAUGAUAUCUGUUAUACAUACUCUCACACAAUCUCUAUUGGACGGUCAAAGUACUUAACUCUGGAAUCAUUCACAAUUUUACAAGGAUAAGUAUUGCUCAAGCUGUAUUAGCAUCUACUUAUUUCUCUCAAUUAUUGAUACGCUGCCUACAGAAUCUCAAUAGCAUUACAGUAAUUUCAAUCUCAAACAUCUCACUCAAGAAGAAAACUGGGAUUUGCUACUAUUCCUUCCUACUAG